UACGUAGGGAGCAAGCGUUGUCCGGAAUCAUUGGGCGUAAAGCGCGCGUAGGCGGCUCUGUAAGUCCGUUGUGAAAGUCAAAGGCUCAACCUUUGAAAGCCGAUGGAUACUGCAGAGCUAGAGUCCGGAAGAGGCGAGUGGAAUUCCUGGUGUUGCGGUGGAAUGCGCAGAUAUCAGGAGGAACACCGGCGGUGAAGACGGCUCUCUGGACCGAUACUGACGC
rnacentral:rRNA from 1 species